rnacentral:antisense_RNA from 1 species
AAAGUGUCUUUAGAUGAUUAGGAUCUAAGGGGCCAACAGCUUUGCAAUAACAGCAUAAAUAUUGUGGGCUGGAUGGACAGGCACCAAAUGGGGACAUUCCAUCCUGCUGUGUGAUGAGAAAGCUGCCACUUCUGAGGCCUUCCAAAACAAAUAAACACUCCAAAUGCCAGAAGGAAAAGCCCAGGAAAGACCUAUUCCAACUGGAGAUGGUGAAUGUCAUUUCUUCAAGAAGCUGAGAUCCAGCUGGUACUGCCAGGUGGAGAGUGAGUUGGGUAGCUGACCUCAGGCAUGGCAGCCUUAGUUUUUGGCCACUUCAUGGGGUGACCUGUUGAGCAAACAGCAGUGGAAUUCUGCAGCUGUGGACCAAGACGAAUAUGAAGGGAGAAUGAAACAAAACUGCUCCGCUCAGGGAACUUAGAAAUUGAAAAGUCUAUACGAGUCUCUUUGACACAAGUCUCUUUGGUACAGAUGAAGACCAGAGAGCUUGGGAGUCACUUCUGAAGAGAAGAGUGAAUGAGUAAACAAACGUGGAUGAGGCAAACAAAGAACAUACCAAAUGUCAGGAUUCAGAUGGGACUGCUGUAUGAUGUUAAUGAACACAGAGAUCUGGAGAAACCAUGUCAAAGCUUUCCGAGAGAGACCGGGAACAAUACCUGGGGAACACCAAAAAGAGAGAUGAUAAAGAAGGGAUGACAAGUCCCUGCAGGCCUGGACCAAGUGCAACACAGAACAAGCAACAAGACCAAAAGAAAGUAGUGUGUCUUGUUAAGUUUCUUUGCAAGGCUUUAAAUCAGCAGUGGCUUCCUGGCA